rnacentral:rRNA from 1 species
ACCUACGGGAGGCAGCAGUGGGGAAUAUUGCACAAUGGGGGAAACCCUGAUGCAGCGACGCCGCGUGAGUGAAGAAGUAUUUCGGUAUGUAAAGCUCUAUCAGCAGGGAAGAAAAUGACGGUACCUGACUAAGAAGCCCCGGCUAACUACGUGCCAGCAGCCGCGGUAAUACGUAGGGGGCAAGCGUUAUCCGGAUUUACUGGGUGUAAAGGGAGCGUAGACGGCAUGGCAAGUCAGAUGUGAAAGCCCGGGGCUCAACCCC